GGCAAAGUGUCCGAGUGGUUAUGGAGCUGCGUUUAGGUAACCUGAACACAUAUUCCGCAGUGGCUUUGCCUCGUGGGUUCGAAUCCCACCUUUGUCA
rnacentral:tRNA from 1 species